rnacentral:lncRNA from 1 species
GGCUAGUAUUAGAAAGCUGUACCAGCAGCCGGCCAGACUCCAGUAUCAGCUAUGGCAAACCAUGCGUGAAGCUGAUGCCUUCAAACCAUUUCCUAUAGAUGAGGCAUAGCACGUGCUGUGGUAUUUAUGAGCCGCCAUUUGUUGUACUAUUGUGGUGAACCUACCCUGGAUGUGAAGAUUGCCUUUUGUCAGGAAACCUUAGAGCUUCAGAGCCUCCUGUCAGCAAAUGAUGUGCAGAGAGCUCACCAGCAGCGAGAUGUGGGUACUGCCACUCAGCUCUUGGGGUGGCAAAAUUACUUCUGCUGUAUAAGUAUCCAGCAGGUACCAGCACAGGUCAGUGCUAUAUAG